rnacentral:lncRNA from 10 species
UGGGAGCGGUUGUGACUCCUGUUACUAAAGAGGACCCUUGCAACAAUGCCAUGCCUGCUGCCAGCCACCAGCAACAGAAGAGGUGAGAUUCUCAGAGAGGAGAAUGAUGUCGCUGCCAAGGGACCCUUUCCACUCAGGUUCGUUAAUACACUCACCCUUCAAGGACUCAUCCAAAACACUCCUCUCCCCUAAUGAUCUGAAGAUUCUAGAAAAAUGAAAAGCGUCUCCUACCAAACAAUUAGCAUUCGUCCAGGCUAAAGGAGUUUAAAGUAAACAUUCAAAGGGCCAACUGAGACUCUGGAAAAGACUCAGCUCACAGCUGAAGAGAAUCUGAUGGCACGGGCAGCAUUGCGUGGCGUAGAGAGUACGUGUUCGGAAACCAGAGAGAUCUGAGCAGAAAUCCCACACGGGACCAAGAGGCUGUAUGGCUGGGCCUGGGCCACUCACUGAGAUGCUGCGAGUCUCACUUUUCUCAUCUGCAAAAUAGUGAUAAGGCUACUUCUGCAGGGCUGCUGUGAAGAUAAGAGGGGAAAAAUAUGUCCAGCCCCAAGAGCAAUGCCUUGCACACUGCAUGUGGCUGAGCAAAGGGGUGAAGAAUAUCCAAUAGUAUAGACUUGCCCAUUUAUGAACUAAGACCAAGUAAUUCUGCCCCUCCUCCUUACAUGGAUAACUGAUCUACCUUUAGAAGGCCUACAAACAGGCCGGGCAUGGGGGCUCACGCCUGUAAUUCCAGCACUUUGGGAGGCCGAGGCGGGAGAACUGCUUGGGCCCAGGAGUUUGAGACUAGCCUAGGCCAUGUGGAGAGACCCUAUCUCUAUUUUGUUUAAUUAAAAAGAAAAAAAGAAGGCCUACAAACAAUAAAAAUGAUCAAACCGACAGAUAAGCAGCAAAACAGAAGAUGACAUAAGAAAACGAAACUUCACCGGGCACAGUGGCUCAUGCCUGUAAUCCUAGCACUUUGGGAGGCCGAGGCGGGCAGAUCACAGGUCAGGAGAUAGAGAUCAUCCUGGCUAACACAGUGAAACCCAUCUCUACUAAAAACACAAAAAAAUUAGCCGGGUGUGGUGGCACCUGCCUGUAGUCCCAGCUACUUGGGAGGCUGAGGCAGGA